rnacentral:rRNA from 1 species
UACGUAGGGUGCGAGCGUUGUCCGGAAUUAUUGGGCGUAAAGAGCUCGUAGGCGGCUUGUCGCGUCGACUGUGAAAACUCGGGGCUCAACUCCGAGCUUGCAGUCGAUACGGGCAGGCUAGAGUUCGGUAGGGGAGACUGGAAUUCCUGGUGUAGCGGUGAAAUGCGUAGAUAUCAGGAGGAACACCGGUGGCGAAGGCGGUUCUCUGGGCAUUACCUGACGCUGAGGAGCGAAAGUGUGGGGAGCGAACAGG